rnacentral:rRNA from 1 species
ACACGACUCUCGGCAACGGAUAUCUCGGCUCUCGCAUCGAUGAAGAACGUAGCGAAAUGCGAUACCUGGUGUGAAUUGCAGAAUCCCGCGAACCAUCGAGUCUUUGAACGCAAGUUGCGCCCGAGGCCAUUNGGCCNAGGGCACGCCUGCCUGGGCGUCACGC